AUGUUUAACUGCACCAUGAGGGUUGUUCUUGGUUUGUUGUUGGUGCUGCUCGGUCUGUGUGGGUCAGCGGCUCAACAGGACGGUUUCACCAAGGUUGGUGAGAUCGGAGAGUUUCUCGAGACGGCUGCAAGAGACACGGCUGAUGAAUCGAUCGAGGACACAACAAAGCAAACACGCCACGACAUCUGGGCAGAGCUUAGGGCUCUGAAAGACACGGUGUCAGAUGUUUGGGUGGAGCUUUACCUGCUGCAGAGAGAUAACGCUGACCUUCAGACCAGACUGAGCAGCGGUGAGAGGGAACUUCUUGUCAGCAAGUUCAGGGUUGACCUGCUGGAGAAAGAAAAUGCAGACUUACAGACCAGACUGAGCAGCAGUGAGAGUGAACUUCUCGUCAGCAAGUUCAGGAUUGACCAGGUGGAGAAAGAAAAUGCAGUCCAAGAAACUAGACUGAAUGCCACUGAGAGCCAAACAAGUGGCCUGGAAGGAGAAAUUACAGACUUACAGACCAGACUGAGCAGCAGUGAGAGUGAACUUCUCUUCAGCAAGUCCAGGAUUGACCAGCUGGGGAAAGAAAAUGCAGACUUACAGACCAGACUGAGCAGCAGUGAGAGUGAACUUCUCGUCAGCAAGUCCAGAAUUGACCAGCUGGAGAAAGAAAAUGCAGGUGAUGAAGUGUGUCAGUGAACUGAUGGACUUGAUGUUGGCUCCAGAUUAAGUUUAAUGACAUACAUUGACUCUUUUGUGUUAACAGUGAAA
ensembl:lncRNA